rnacentral:rRNA from 1 species
ACAUCGCAUGGACGAAGUCUGACGGAGCAUGCCGCGUGAGUGACGAAGGUUUUCGGAUCGUAAAACUCUGUUGUGAGGGAAGAACAAGUACCAACUAACUACUGGUACCUUGACGGUACCUCACCAGAAAGCCACGGCUAACUACGUGCCAGCAGCCGCGGUAAUACGUAGGUGGCAAGCGUUGUCCGGAAUUAUUGGGCGUAAAGCGCGCGCAGGCGGUCCCUUAAGUCUGAUGUGAAAGCCCACGGCUCAACCGUGGAGGGUCAUUGGAAACUGGGGGACUUGAGUGCAGAAAAGGAAAGUGGAAUUCCACGUGUAGCGGUGAAAUGCGUAGAGAUGUGGAGGAACACCAGUGGCGAAGGCGACUUUCUGGUCUGUAACUGACGCUGAGGCGCGAAAGCGUGGGGAGCAAACAGGAUUAGAUACCCUGGUAGUCCACGCCGUAAACGAUGAGUGCUAAGUGUUAGGGGGUUUCCGCCCCUUAGUGCUGCAGCUAACGCAUUAAGCACUCCGCCUGGGGAGUACGGCCGCAAGGCUGAAACUCAAAUGAAAUUGACGGA